rnacentral:rRNA from 1 species
UACGGGGGGGGCAAGCGUUGUUCGGAAUUACUGGGCGUAAAGCGUGCGUAGACGGUUAUUUAAGUCGGAUGUGAAAGCCCCGGGCUCAACCUGGGAAUUGCAUUCGAGACUGAAUAGCUAGGGUGCGGUAGAGGGAAGCGGAAUUUCCGGUGUAGCGGUGAAAUGCGUAGAUAUCAAGAGGAACACCUGAGGUGAAGACGGGUUGCUGGGCUGAUACUGACGCUGAAGCGCGAAAGCUAGGGUAGCAAACGGG